rnacentral:rRNA from 1 species
UACGGAGGGUGCUAGCGUUGUUCGGAAUUAUUGGGCGUAAAGCGCACGUAGGCGGCUUUGUAAGUUAGAGGUGAAAGCCCGGGGCUCAACUCCGGAACUGCCUUUAAGACUGCAUCGCUUGAAUCCAGGAGAGGUGAGUGGAAUUCCGAGUGUAGAGGUGAAAUUCGUAGAUAUUCGGAAGAACACCAGUGGCGAAGGCGGCUCACUGGACUGGUAUUGACGCUGAGGUGCGAAAGCGUGGGGAGCAAACAGG